rnacentral:tRNA from 1 species
GCCCCGGUAGCUCAGUGGAUAGAGCAGCGGUUUCCUAAACCGUUGGUCGGAGGUUCAACUCCUCUCCGGGGUACAA